rnacentral:rRNA from 1 species
GGUUGUCUUUAUUUAUACUGUUAGAAGGAUAGCUUGGUUUUGGUUUUGAUGAAAGACGUGGCAAGCUGCGAUAAGCCUAGGGGAGUUGCAAGUAAGCUUUGAUCCUAGGAUUUCUGAAUGCUCAGAGAUGAGGAAUUACACUGGGAAUUGAAACAUCUUAGUACCAGUAGGAAGAGAAAACAAUUAGUUAUUCCCCUAUUAGCAGAGAGCGAAAAGGGAACAGGGCAAACUGAAUCUGCUUUUGAAAAGAAGUUAGAGAUGUGGUGGAUGCUAAGCCUAAGGAAUUGAGAAAAAGUCUGCUGGAAUGCAGCACUAUAAAGGGUGAUAGUCCCAUAUUCUAAAAUUCUAUGGCAGGCUCUAAAAGAGUAGGGCUUCCUGGAUUGGAGGUCUGAAUACAGCAGGAUUAACUGCUAACCCUAAAUAAAACCAAAGUCCGAUAGUGAACUAGUACCGCGAGGGAAAGCUGAAAAGUACUCUUAUCAGAGUGUGAAAAGACUUGAAAUCUAGCAGUUACAUUUUGUUACUGACCUUAACUCGCAAGAGAAAGGUUUGUAACGUACGUUUUGAAAAACGGGCCAGGGAGUUAUUCUAUAUGGCGAGGCUAACCAAUUUUAUUGGGUAACCAAAGCGAAAGCAAGUAUGAAAGUGCAUUAGUCAUAUGGAUUAGACCUGAAGCUGGGUGAUCUAUUUAUGGGCAAGGUGAAGUCUCUCGAAAGGGGGAUGGAGGCCUGAACCAGUGUUGUGGACAUGCACUUGGAUGACCUGUGAAUAGGGGUGAAAAGCUUAUCUAACUCAGCGAUGGCUGGUUCCUGCUGAAAUAUGCCUACGUAUAGUCUUGUUGUGCUUGUUAAUGGUGUAAAGUACGGAUAAAAUUUGCAGGGGCUAAUGCUUACGGAAUUUUUUCCAACUCAGAAGCUAUUAACUGUUUAAAACAAGAAACAGGGUGUGUAUGUAAGAUACAUUUCCGAAACCGGAACAACGGAGACUAAAGUUAAGGUCCUUAAAUUUCUGUUAAGUGUAACAAAAGUUGUCUUGAACCUGAGACACCAGGGAUGUAAGCUUAGAAGCAGCUAUCAUUUAAAGAAAGCGUAACAGCUCACCUAUCGAGGUUCAGGGCGCUGAAAAUGGACGGGGCUAAACAGAAUACCGAUACUUUAGCGGCACUCAUUAGAGUGUUCGGGUAAGCAGGCGUGGUUUUUGUGCAGAAGGUUUUUCGAGAGAAAGGCUGGAACGAAAACCAAUGAGAAUCCUGGUAAUAGUAGGAUGUGAUUAUUCUGAGAAUGAAUAAGGUCGUAAGGGUAAGGUUUCCUCGGCAAUAUCGUUUAGCCGAGGGUUAGUCAGCACCUAAGUUGUAUCCUAACGGAGUUCAACGAUGGACAUCAGGUUAAUAUUCCUGAACUGAUUAAGUCUUACGGGUAUAAUUUGGUUUAGGAUAGGCGAACACUCGAAAGAGUGUUUUGAUAGAGAAAUUUGAGGAGGGUAAUCCAUAGAUACAAAUGAAUCUAUUAAACAAAAUCUCUGAUUCCUAGAUCCAGUGAAAAAAUUAUGCACUUGAUUUAAUUAGCUGUACCCACAACCGGCACUGGUGCCCUAGCUUAAUAGGCUAAGACCUGAAAGAUUAAACUAAUUAAGGGAAUUCGGCAAGUUAGUCCUGUAGCUUCGGCUGAAGGGAUGUCUAUUUUUGUGUUUUUAUUCGCAAGAACCUGAAUGCAUUAAUAGAUCUCAGUAACAAGGACGGCCCGACUGUUUACCAAAAACGUAACCAAGUGCUAAUCUGCAAAGACUUGUAUACUUGGUGAGACCUGCCCAGUCGUGGUGUGUGAAACUCUUUUUCAAGGGAGCUAAGCCCCAUGAAACGGCGGAGGUAACUAUGACCUUCUUAAGGUAGCGCAAUACCCUGUCGUAUGAAUUGCGACUUGCAUGAAUGGUUUAACGAGGUUGUCACUGUCCCUAAUUAGUACCUUCUGAAAAUACUGUGUGGUGCACAUGCCACAAACACCUAGUGGGAAGCGAAGACCUUGUGGAACUUUACUGCAACUUGUUGUUGUGAUUUUAUCCGAAACGCAUAGCAUAGGUAGGAGCGUCGAUGCAGUCAUUUUGGUGGCUGUUGAGCAAUCUUGUAAUACUACCCAUUUUUGCUAAAAUUACUCAUCCUUUAGGAGACAGCAGCAGGCGGGCAGUUUGACUGGGGCGGUGCCCUGUCGAAAAAAUAUCGAUAGGACCCAAAGACAAGCUCAUCCAGCUUGGAAAUCUGGAGUUGAGUGCGAGGGCAAAAGCU